UUAGAUACCCAUUUAUUCCGACGCAAACUUUGCUUUGGCAGCUGCUUGGGGACUACGAGUGCUUAAAACUCAAAGAACUUGGCGGUUUGUUAACUACCUAGGGGAAUAUGUGCCUUAAUCCGAUGAUCCCCGCCACAUCUUACUGGGCUUUGAAAAAGUGCAGCUGGUGUAUUGCCGUUGUCAGCUUGUUGUUCGAGCAAAAGUAACAGGCUUAAUGGAGCCGUGUCCGUGAAUUCAGGUCGUAAUACCGCCCAUGGCCCAAGGGAGUAGGUGUUACAAUUUCUAUUUAAAACCACGGAGCUCUGAAAUGGAAGGUGAACUUAGGAGUAAGGGGGAAUUAGCAUGUUUCCCUGAACUGAAUCUGGCUUGUGUACAAACUGCCCGUCGCUCUCGCC
rnacentral:rRNA from 1 species